GUGAAUCAUCGAAUCUUUGAACGCAAAUUGCACUCUCCGGGGAGAGUAUGCGUGUUUGAGGGUCAGCCUAUAUAAAUCGACAUCGUGGCUUUUUCGCGGUGGCGUUCGGCGGUAAUUGGGUCAUCUUACAUCCUUUUGUUUUAUGGGACUUAAAAUUUUCUUUUGGUUCCAUGAAUUUUUCUA
rnacentral:misc_RNA from 1 species